AGGGGCAGCUGCAGGCAGGAGGGCAGGAGGAUUUGAGCAGCUGGGCUAAGGUCAGGCACAGAGGCUUGGGCUCAGCAGACAGCCAAAUGCUCGGCCCAGCUGCUACUGCCUCUUUCUGGGCCCUGUGCAGGAGGCAGACGCUGGCUGCCAGGCUGGCGGGCUCCCCUCCACGGCUGCAAGGCCACCCAGGCCCAGGGGUCUGCUCUUCCCUCUCCUCCUGCUGAAUGGCAUUCUUUCCUUUUCUUUCUCUGUCUCCUCACUCUCCCUUUCCUUCUAUUCCUUUUCUCCCUCAUCUCUUUGUGUCUUCAUUUCUGUCUUUGUCUUAUCCUAUGUCUCUCUUCUUUGUAUUUUUUCCCUCCCUCUCUCAGUUUCUUGGCCUCUCUUCAUCUCUCUGUCUCUGGGUUAAAAGUUGUAGGAAAAGGAUAGGAGGUGGGGCCCAAGAGGAAUCCCAGAUGAAACUGAGCUGAGCUCCUACUACGAUUUCAAUGUCUGUGUUUCCCCAAAAUUUAUAUGUCGAUCCCUAAUCUCCAGUGCAAUAGUAUUAGGAGGUGGGGCCUUUGGAAAGUGACUAGGUCAUGAGAGUGGAGCCCUCAUGAAUGCAACCAUAAGAGAGGCCUGAAGGAACUGUUUGCACCUUCUGCCAUGUGAGGUCAUAGCUACAAGGCGCUAUCUAUGAAUGUAUGAACAAGAAAGUGGGCUGUCAUCAGACAUCACACCUGCCACCACCUUGAUCUUGAACUUCCAGCCUCCAGAACUCACCUGGCAUGACAGUAAAUUCAUGCAUAAAUGCCCAAGGUCACAGAGCUGGGAUGAGAACCCAAGGCCUUCAGAAUGUCCAUCAAACUGUCGCUUCCUGACCUCUCGAAAUCACAGAAGCAAGAUCAGAUUCUAGGACUGAAAGGGGAAGAAACAGAAUGUAAGUCCAGUGCCCCAGGUUAACAGAAGAGGAAACAGAGGCCCAGAUAGGGCAAGACCCAUGUCCAAGCCCACAGAAGCAGUUAGUUCUGGCCGAGCCAGGCCCGACUCCCUGCCCAUCCUCCUGUAGUCUUAUAAAACUCAUCCCUUUGCUACCUGCAGGGGACUAAGGGAGUGCCUCUCUCUGGCUGCAGCUGGGUGGUUUUGUAGAGGAUGUGGCUGAGAGUUCGUCAGCUGUGGCCCCACUCAGACAGCUCUCUGUCCAUGGGUGGCUUUGUAUUGGAGUGUGCUAUCAAAGGACUUGACCUGGAUCGAACCAAUGGCCAAUUACGCCUUCCUGUGGUGCACUGAGCUGAGCUUACUCAAGGCUGACAGGCUGAGGGGGUAAACAACAGUGCAUGGGCAUGCCAUCCAAAUCACCCUACCUAUCCAAGCCUGGCGUGCAGCCAGGCAUCCAUUAGCUGUGUUACUCACUGGCUCUCCUUCAACCAUCAUUAGUCUCUCUGUUGUAAACAUGAGAAAAAAUGAAGUUCAGAGAGGAGAGGUAAGCAGCCUUAAGUUACACAGCUGGUAAGUGGAUAAACCAGGAUGCCAAGCCAGGCCUGCUGGAAUGCAAACCCAUACUCUCCCUGCUUUACAAAAAUCCCUACAUUCUGCAAGAGAGGCACUGAGUCUCCUCAUCUAGCACCUGUCUGUGGGGCCUCACUUUCCUCAUCUGUGAAAUGGGUGGGGUAUGAGAAAAGUACUCACUGGCCAGCCAGGACAAGGCACGAGUGGCAGCCAGGCUGGGGGCUGAAAAGAAUGGGAGCCAAGUCAAGAGCUCUCCCAUCAUUUCCAAGGGCACAGUAUUAACUCCCACAUUUGCCCAUCAUUUGUUCAAGCAAAACCUUGUUCACCAAGGCCCAGUGAGGGUCUGGAUGCCCAGAGGAGACUUUGGUCUGGAAGGAGGAAAUACUCUUUCUAUACCCAUAAAACCAGUGAGCACAGAAAAACAUGCCAGGUGCAAUGUUCCCUGGCAAUGUCUCCCAGAAAAUUCCAAAUCCUUCAGUGCUUGGUGAAGGGAAAAGCAGAUUUUGUGGAUAAUUGCUUUAGGAAAACCCUGAGUUGAAUGAAGCUCAGCAGAUGACUGCAGGACUUUUCAGAGCCUUUAAAAUGCUAACAAGCUUUCUAGUUCACCAAGAGAAGUGGAAUGUUUUCGAAACAUACUUGAUCAUGCAAAGUGUUUCAGAGCAUUUCAGAAGAACAAUGCCUGUGUUAUACCCUUUAGAAAACCCUGUGCUGGGGAAGAGGAAAGUAGGAAGAGCUACAGUAUAUAUUUAAUUUACGGUAAAGAGGCAAGUAAAUUAGAGGAGGACAUAUAUUGCCAAAUGAGGGGACAGCUUUUUCAGAAAUGUGGCAUUAAAAAUGCACAGGCUUCCCUCUCCCUCUCCCUCUCCCUGCCCUCUCCCUCUCCCUCUCCCUGCCCUCUCCCUCUCCCUCUCCCCACGGUCUCCCUCUCCCUCUCUUUCCACAGUCUCCCUCUGAUGCCGAGCCGAAGCUGGACUGUACUGCUGCCAUCUCGGCUCACUGCAACCUCCCUGCCUGAUUCUCCUGCCUCAGCCUACCGAGUGCCUGCGACUGCAGGCGCGUGCCGCCACGCCUGACUGGUUUUCGUAUUUUUUUGGUGGAGACGGGGUUUCACCGUGUUGGCCGGGCUGGUCUCCAGCUCCUAACCGCGAGUGAUCUGCCAGCCUUGGCCUCCUGAGGUGCCGGGAUUGCAGAUGGAGUCUGGUUCACUCAGUGCUCAAUGGUGCCCAGGCUGGAGUGCAGUGGCGUGAUCUCGGCUGGCUACAACCUCCACCUCCCAGCCGCCUGCCUUGGCCUCCCAAAGUGCCGAGAUUGCAGCCUCUGCCCGGCCGCCACCCCGUCUGGGAAGUGAGGAGCGUCUCUGCCUGGCCGCCCAUCGUCUGGGAAGUGAGGAGCCCCUCUGCCUGGCUGCCCAGUCUGGAAAGUGAGGAGCAUCUCUGCCCGGCCGCCAUCCCAACUAGGAAGUGAGGAGCGCCUCUUCCCGGCCGCCAUCCCAUCUAGGAAGUGAGGAGCGUCUCUGCCCGGCCGCCCAUCGUCUGAGAUGUGGGGAGCGCCUCUGCCCCACCGCCCCAUCUGGGAUGUGAGGAGUGCCUCUACCCGGCCGCGACCCCGUCUGGGAGGUGAGGAGUGUCUCUGCCCGGCCGCCCUGUCUGAGAAGUGAGGAGACCCUCCACCUGGCAACCGCCCAGUCUGAGAAGUGAGGAGCCCCUCUGCCCGGCAGCCGCCCCGUCUGAGAAGUGAGGAGCCCCUCCGCCCGGCAGCCACCCCAUCUGGGAAGUGAGGAGCGUCUCCACCCAGCUGCCACCCCGUCCGGGAGGGAGGUGGGCAUAUCAAUCACAGUGGUCCAAUGAGCCUUGAGCCAGAACUUCUGCUGGGAUUACUGGAAAAAAAGCUCAUUUAUUGCCAGAGUUCCUGCAAGCUUGGAGCUGCUAGAGGCCAUCUUUGCAACCUCGUGGGGAGAUCUUUCGGGAAAAUGAAACCAUCACAAAGGCAAGCAGAGUCUAGAGACUGAAACAGAUUUCUGUCAACAUCCUAUGGGCCCUUGCUCCCAGCCAUGCCUGAAGUUGGCUGUACCUCCGGGACCUAGACAUUUUAGUUACUCAAAAUAAUAAAUUCUCUUGUGUCCGAAACCAAUUUGAAUUAGGAUUCUGUCACUGGCAACUGACAGAAUCAACUGCCUAACAACAGUUAUAAAACAUAGUCCCAUACAGGUUUUUUGUUGUUGUUCUUCAACAAAUUGUUCUUCAUGCACAUUAUUCAUUCAUUCAAAAUAAUACAUAUUGGACAUGUAUUGUGUACAUGUAACCUAUACCGGUAAGGCUUCCAGGUACAGAUGUUCAAGUUGUGCACUACCCAACUCCAGGGGAUUGGCCUUCAUGUAGUGCACUACCCAACUCCAGGGGAUUGGCCUUCAUGUAGUGGCCCCCUUGGGUUACACAGUGCAGCACCCUUGGGCCAUGGGAAUAUACGAAUAUAUAAAUCAGCCCACCACACAGAAAGGGUCCAUGUCUCACUACAGCCUCUAAACCCUGCCAUUCUCUGGAGUGGUAAGGAAAUGAAGAGACUCUUUACAGUAGGAAAAACAUAAGGUGCGGUAUUAGGACACCUGGAUUGGCAUCUUCACUGUAUUAUUUACUAACCAAGUGUGAUGUUGGAUAAGCCAGUUAAGUUUUCUUAGCUGUUGCUUCUUUAUCUGUAAAAUAGGAAUGAUAAUAUUACCAUCCCUGUUGAAAUCCUUUUUUUUUUUUUUUUUUUUUUUUUGAGACGGAGUCUUGCUCUGUCACCCAGGCUGGAGUGCAGUGGCACAAUCUCAGCUCACUGCAAGCUCCGCCUCCCGGGUUCAUGCCAUUCUCCUGCCUCAGCCUCCCGAGUUGCUGGGACUACAGGCACCCACCAUCAUGCCCGGCUAAUUUUUUGUAUUUUUAGUAGAGGUGGGGUUUCACCAUGUUAGCCAGGAUGGCCUUGAUCUCCUGACCUCGUGAUCUGCCCGCCUCAGCCUCCCAAAGUGCUGGGAUUACAGGCAUGAGCCAUCGCGCCCGGCGGAAAUCCUUCCUAUCCUUCAAAGCCCAACACGAUCACCACCUCCUCCAAGAAGCCUUGCCUGAUUGUCUCCGUGGCCACAAAGUGGUGACUCAGGAGGAAAAGAGAGAAGUAAAGGCGCAUCAUGGGUGAAGAAAUGACCUGAGAACUUGAAAUCCAAGCCCGGCCCAUGCAGGCUGUUUUUCUUAGUCCUUCCUCGCAGCAGGGCUGAGGUGGGAGAAACCGGCUGUAAGCACACUCAGUGGGAUGAUUUGUGGAUCGCCUCCUGGACACCUCAGAGUGCUACCUUGAGUGAGGGGAGAACAGCUGUCCUCUCAUCUCAUCACCUAGAAUAAGAGAGAAGGCCUGUCUGUCACCUGCACCACCAAAGCUUGAGCACUAUCAAUUUGGGAAGAAGCGGCUGUAGUGGUCAUCCAGACAGCACCUAACUCCCCAGGGAAGCAGGCUCCAUUCUUCUCAUCCCUACCUGUUUUUCCCAUGGGUAGGGGGUGUGGAUAAACUGUGGAAGGCAGAAAUGACACCCCUGGCUUGUCAUCAUCCCCCAGAUUUCAGGGUGGAGGGACUCUCGCAGUCACCCAACCUGCCUGCUCUCUGGGGCUGACCUGCCUUCCCACUGGGACCCCUCCCUCCCAUCCAGGCCCAUUGGCUGGCCCCCCGAGCAGGAGGGAAAACACCCUCCAGCCCAUGGGAUUUGUUGCUUUCUUUCCCUCUCCACAGGGACCUGACAAGCCUCCAGUCCAGCUCUGUUCCAAAGCCUUCCAGACUCCCUGAUGUCUGCAUUUGCAUGGAAUCCAAUCUUCUACACAACCCCCUCACCUCCAGCCCAGCCCUUUCUUCAAACCCCCAGCCUAGACACUUACAAUAGACAUAGCACUGAAUCUCGUCGAUUGCUGUCAGCUACAGGUCCUCCCCAGCCUGAAGAGCCAAACUGGUUACCACAGAGGUUCUCGAGGAAGGAACCCAGUCCAGGAGGUCAGAGUCUUGGUUUCCCAAGAUGGCCGGACUACUGAGUUGCUGUGUGACCUUACACAAGUGAUUCAAACUCUCUGAAUCUUCCAGAGCUGAUAGAGCCACCGAAGCAGAGAAGGAGUGGGGGAGGAGAAGUCUGCAAGUGUGCACUGGACCGUGUCCUAAAGUGCCAGCCAGAUGGCCAUCUGUGCGCUUUGGCCUCCCCAGUCCUGCCAGGGAAGGAAGUAUGAAGCCAAAGCCAGAUGAGAGUGAAGACCUGGCCAACAGCCUCUCUGCAGACCCUGCCAAGCACAUGCCACCCCCUCGGUCAUGUGCACACACACACCUGCACACACACACUCUGCUCAGUCCUUCAGCUGGUCAGCGCUGAUGGCUCUUGUGGGGGGCCUCUGCUCUGUCCCGAUCCACCCAUGCUCACAGUCCCCCCUGCAGAAGCACUAGUAAUGCUCAGAGGACUUUCCAAAGCCCCUACGGAACCCAGGGACUGCUCACCCGUGGCUGUUGGUUAUGUCAGAUAUCGGAGAACCAGCCCCAAAGACAGGCUACUGUUGUGGGAAAGCCCAGAACAUAAGACUGCAAGGUCUGGUUCUUUCUGGAAUCACUGCACUCCCUGGAGAAGGCCACACCCCUUCCUCUUUCAGGCUUUAGCUGCGGCAUCUGUAAAAUGGUGAUCCUAACCCCUGUCCUGCCUGCCUUAUGGAGACAGUGAGGAUUAAAUGUGUGUUAGAAAGGAAAGCUCCCUGUAGGUAAGAAAGUGUUGAGCAGACCUCACAACCAAUGCUUUCCGUAUGUGCUUCCAGGAUUUCAGGGAGAUUUUUCUAUUUUCCAUGGGUGUGAUAUGUCUCCAUACAGCCUGGAGCCUAGUAUUUGUGCAGAUAGUCAGGACUGGAAGAGCUCAGAUGUUGGAGAAUUUACUGCAGGCUGGUCCUGUAUAUUGUAUCGGCUUGUCACCUUCCUCGUUCUGCACACUGGAUCUCUGUUAACAUAGCCCCUGACUCUCACAGAACUUAUUGUCAGCUCUAACCCUGUGCUUGUUUUCUGCACUCUGCUGCUAACAUUCCCAGCCCUUGUAUGGAUAGGCCUGGGGCCUCAUGGCACCCUGUUCCCAGGCCUGCAGAAAUCUGCUCUCUGGGAGCACCUCCACCAGACCUGGCUGACCGUGUCCCUGAGCCAGAAGGGGAUUAGAGGCCCCCACUGAGCUGGAGCUGGAGAUUUGGAACAGAAUACCCCCUCCCUUUCAGCUGGGCAAAAAGGAGAAGGAGCAGAGCCAACAGCCCCAGGGCUUCCUGAAGAAACUUUGCACCAGGAGCCUCCCAUUUCCUGGGCUUCUGCUGAUGGAACAAACUUUCCUCGGCCCUUGGCGGCCCAGAUUCUGGAACAGGCUACUCUGCAGUCAGGCACUGUGUGGGGGAAGGGGUGUCAGCCUGGGAUGGCAAGGACAAAGCCCCAGCCCAUGCUGCUCCCCAAUCUCUCCUUCCACCCAACUUGCUCUGUGGCCUCCAGCAAGGCCCUUCUCUUCCUGGGGCCUUAAUUUCCUCAGCUGUAGAAUGAGUCAGGGAAAUAAGAUUGGUCCGGUGAAAUGUCACAGUUGAGUGGGUCUUACAGAGGCAGAUUCUACAUGGAGAAGGGGUGUGGAGCACCACCAUCUUUUCUGAUUCCACUCUCACUUCCCAGCUCUCACAGCCUUAAAGCAAACUCCAGCUGCCCAGACCUCCACUGUGUGCCCUGGGCUCUGGGCCUUGGCUGAUCUGGUAAAUGCUGCCCCCACACGCCAAAAGGACAGAGGAAACAACUAAGAGAGUCCCCAAGGCCCAAGGCUGGAACAAUUUGAGCAACAAAAUACAUCAUGAGAGUAUCAAAUUAUAACUCCUAGAAUAAAAUAAAAAUCCAGGAGUCCACAUGGUUAUAAAUAAGUACCUGAAUAAAUAAAUAAAUGAAGGCAGCUCUUCCUUACAGAAGAGUUCCAAUUAAUAAAUGUGACAUGAACAAGGGAAAUAAAAAAACACCAUUAGAACACCACAGUAAUAAUUAUUGCAGACAAGACGCACUGAUGUAUGCUAAAAUUAAUGGGUGAAAGUUUGAGGAGAAGCAGCAUGUUCGAAUUGUCUCAAAGUAUCUCCCCCAAGAGAUUUACUAAUUAUAAAGGGGAAAGAAAAUACAGUAAUCUGCAGUGGAGAAACCCAGUAGGUGCCACCUUAAUCAAGUGACCAAGUUAACAUCACCAGUAAUAAGACGUAGCAACAUCACCACACGCCCCGAUAGGAUGCACAGAGAAGACAUUUCAUGUAUAUAGUAUUCUUGCCAAAAAAUGCAUAACAUCAAUUUCAUCAUGGGGGGACAAUCAGACUGAGGGGCAUUCUACAAAAUCACCCAUCAGUACCCUUUCAAAUGUCAAGGUCAUGGACGGCAAGGAUGCUCUGAGGAACCAUCACAGAUUGGAGGGGAUUAAGGAGAAUGACAGCUAAAUGAAACGUGAGAGCCUGGAUUGGAUCCUGGAAUAGUGGAAGGAUAUUAAGAGAAAAACUGGUGAACUCUGAAUCAAGUCUGUAUUUUAGUAACAGUAUUGCCCAAUGUUGUUAAUGUAAUGAUUUUGAUAAAUUAUACAAGAUGCUAACAUUAGGGAAAGCUAGGUGAAGGUGUACAGAAACCCUCUGUGCUAUAUUUGUAACUUUUUAAUUUCAAAUAAAAAGUAAAAAAUAAAACUGUUUCAUUC
rnacentral:lncRNA from 1 species